rfam:Myotis brandtii contig152702, whole genome shotgun sequence.
UGUGCACCUGUGGGGUCCCUCAGCCUGGCCUGUGCCCUCUUGCAAUUCGGACCCUUUGGGGGAUGUCAGAUAGCCAAUUUCAGCCUGAUCCCGCAGGCCAGGCUGAGGGACCCCACUGGUGCACG